UACGGGGGGGGCAAGCGUUGUUCGGAAUUACUGGGCGUAAAGGGCUCGUAGGCGGCCAACUAAGUCAGAUGUGAAAUCCCCAGGCUCAACCUGGGAACUGCGUCUGAUACUGGAUGGCUUGAAUCCGGGAGAGGGAUGCAGAAUUCCAGGUGUAGCGGUGAAAUGCGUAGAUAUCUGGAGGAAUACCGGUGGCGAAGGCGGCAUCCUGGACCGGCAUUGACGCUGAGGAGCGAAAGCGUGGGGAGCGAACAGG
rnacentral:rRNA from 1 species